rnacentral:misc_RNA from 1 species
CCGAGUUUACAACUCCCAAACCCCUGUGAAACAUACCACUUGUUGCCUCGGCGGAUCAGCCCGCUCCCGGUAAAACGGGACGGCCCGCCAGAGGACCCCUAAACUCUGUUUUCUAUAUGUAACUUCUGAGUAAAACCAUAAAUAAAUCA